rnacentral:lncRNA from 1 species
AUUCCUUUACAUUUCCACUGAAACAUAAAUCCUUGUAACUGACUCAAGACCAACUUUUUUUUUUUUUUUUUUUACAUUCUGGAAUAGUUUAUUUCAUCCAACUUGCUACUCAAAGACUUUUACUGUUACACAUCAGUAUACAACAUAACACAUUUCUAAUCAUUACAGAGAACUCAGUGUCCCCUCCUGGGUCUCAUGAGCAGCGAACAGAUAAAGAGCUUGUCGAGUGGUUGCAACUGCAAGGAGCAGAUACGAGAACAAUUGAAAAGAUUCUUGAAGAGGGUUACACACUGUCUGAUAUUCUUAAUGACAUCACUAAGGAAGACCUAAGGUACCUUAGACUACAGUAAGAAUAGCCUCAAAACAUUUUGUGUAACAGAAAAUGGCUUUUUUGGUGUGCUUAGGCUUUUUACAUAAAAGCAGUAGAAAAGAAAGUGCUGGUAGCUUUCCCCCUUUCCUUUAGUCAGGGAACAAAAACUACCCAACCACACUCCAAACUCUGGAGUUUCCAAGGGUGAAGCUGGGGAAAAGCUGAGAGGGAGCAGAAGCUAAAGGCCCAGUAGGCACAGUCAACAGACUGCCAGGCUGGGAGUGGAAUGAGGAAAGACAGGAGUUGACAGCAGGCCACACUCAAACCCUUUCGUUCUCCUCCACUGGUCAUCUUUAAUAGCCUACUUUGCACAGAUGCCCUGGCACUCCUGUACAUACCUCUAAGGCCACAUCCCACUUGUGCUGGGGUAGAAAUUUCACCUCCAUAUGUAAAGGGAACAUAUUCCUAUUUUAGUUUUUAAGUUAGGGACUGCAUUUUUAAGACUAGCCAGCAAAACAAGUCUAGAAGUACAUGCUAUAGCUUUUGCCAUAAGGGCUCCUAAAGAAGUAUUGUGUGGUACUGCUUUGAAGUCAUCUUUCCUUACGACUCACUCUAAAGAAGACUUCUGAUUGUUUCGUAGCGGUGGUCUUCUCUGCAGGCUCUGGACUGCAGUCUCCCAGUACAGAAGACGGGCUCAGGGGGCCCCAGCAACCCAAGAUGAAGCUUAAUAAUCAGCCACACGGGGGAUAGCGGGAGCCCAGAGCUGACAUCUUUGUUAAAGCUUCUACUACAUACACACCAAUCCUGCUGCAAUUCCACAAGGAAAACACCACUGUUCAUUGAACAAAUUUAAGAACUUGAAGUUCUAAAGAAUUAUGGAAAAAAUGUUAAUAUUUCUCAACAUGUUUUAAAGGUGAGUGGAACUGUAUUUUGAGAACUGUGAUUGUAAAACUUGGUCUUGACAUCCCAAAGUAUUAUGGGAUUCUUUACCUUCAAACAUUUGCUGGAAAGGUGGAGCAACAGGUGUUUAACAAAAAGGCUGGGAAUCACUGUUUCAAUUAUACAUUCCAUACAUUAAUGGGAAUUGCACUUAAAAUUAGAAAAAUCAAUAAGACUAUGCCUUGUAGUUAAUAAUGUUUGAUAUGAAUGUAAAUAGAAAACUGUUAGGAAAAUAGCUUCAUAUUUAUAUUGAAUGUAUAAAUGGAGAAAACUAACUUAUUUGGCCUUUGAAACGAAGUAGUUAUAUUUAAAUAUGGAAUUGUCCUUGCACCCCUGCCAAGUUAUAAUAAAUAAUUGUGUUUUAUUAAUGAGACAUGAUGGUUCAGUGUGAACAGGCUUCAGCACUGAUGUGCACACUAACAGGGGUGUGUGCACAUUAGAGUACACUAGGUAAGCUGUUAAUAAAAAGACACUUAGUCCUUGGAAGGAAAGUUAUGACAACCUAGACAGCAUAUUAAAAAGCAGAGACAUUACUUUGCCAACAAAGGUCCGUCUAGUCAAGGCUGUGGUUUUUCCAGUAGUCAUGUAUGGAUGUGAGAGUUGGACUGUGAAGAAAGCUGAGUGCUGAAGUAUUGAUGCUUUUGAACUGUGGUGUUGGAGAAGACUCUUGAGAGUCCCUUGGACUGCAAG